AGACCACCACCAGAACUGCUGUCGUAGCCACCACAGUAAUAGACGGCCUCAUCCUCGGCUUGGACCCCAGUGAUGGUUAACGUCGCUGUGGAGCCAGAUAUGGAACCAGAGAAUCGUGAAAGGAUGCCCGAGGGUCUGUUGC